AAAGCAGUAGAAUUAACAAUUGAUGUAUAAUUCUAAAGUCAAAUGAAAUUAUUGCAGAUCCAGAUCUACCUAUUUCAUCAUUUCUCAAACAACGGCUUCAAAGAAAUCAACAAGUUCAGAAUUCAUUUGACAGGGGCGAGUUGUAGGAAUAUUUUCUUCAUUAAAGGAAUCCUCAUAAGGCAGAGUUACAAUAUGCUUUUUCCUGUCCGAAAAAGCAUUUGGAUGAUCUGCACAGAUAUCAGCAGCCAUUUUUCCAGAAAUUAAUUUAAUUUUUUCCUGGACUUUAGGAGAUUGUAAAGAAUCAGAAAUAUUAAGACUGAAAAUUU
rnacentral:misc_RNA from 1 species